rnacentral:lncRNA from 1 species
GUUACGUGCAGUUGCCAGCAGCGAUUGUUUCAGGGAAAGGGGGGGGGGGAGUUCUCGUCACCGGAAAAUUUGCGGUUACGUUCACUCAUUUGCCAAAGUUGGACAGCUCGGGCGGUUUCUCACUCAACAAUUUCUAUUCUUAAAAGUGGCUUUCCAUGUGCCUCCCUAAUUUAAUAGAAGUGGUUAACAGUGCGCCGAUUCACAAUUUCAGUUCACGAGGUACAAUAUAAGUAAUAAAUUCCCUGCGUGUGCCGUAUAUUCAGUUCUACAGAUGUGCAUGGUGAAGGUGUUGAUUACAGUGGCAGCGCUAGUGGUCAGCGGCGGUUCGUCGGCCCGUCUCUCUCGACUGAGCUUUGAGAAGGGCGACUUGCUGAAGACGAGUAGGCUGGGGUUCCGGGUCUGGAAGCACUUCAAUUUGCCGCCGCAUCAUUACUAUUACGCCCUCUCGGACCACGAGAUCUUCUCGACGACCGUGGAGCUCCAGACAGAGUAUGCGGACGAGGUAACCAAAAAGGUCAAGCUCCGAUCCGUCUUGUACACCCUUGACGUGAAAACCCCUCUAAAGGAAUUCGACUCCAUCCUCAUGACGAAAGCCCGGGUCCGGGGGGCCACCAUCGGGGACACGGGCAUCACCCUGGCGCGCAGGAUGAGCGAGAUGACCCUUUUCCACCACACCACGCGCUGCAACAACUACCACUACAUUGAUUACGUCGUCCACGGCAAGACUUUCGGCAGGUGGUGGAAGCCGCUAUACUGGCCGAAGCACCCCAAGUGCCCGGUCCACCUCGUCAUCGAGCCUGGGGCAAAUGUUGGCGAUCCCGCUAAGCCUGAAUACGUCACAUCGUUGAAGGAGAAGAAUGGAGAAAUCAUGCUACCGCACCUGAAAAAACCUUGA